GAGGAUCACUAACUGGUGCGUGGGAAGACUCCAGAAUCCACUCUGGCUGGAAUCCGGUGGAUACAGCAGUGUUACAGAACAGUUCUCCACAGUCACUGUCUACAUGGGUCAGUGGGACCAAGCAGCACUCUGCUAAUGUGUGGACUCUGACCAGCAACAUCCAGCAAGACCCAGGCAGCGUUUUCUAUCUCCCAGCUGGAGUUUUUUGUUUGUGACGGGAGAGUCAGAUUUUUGUUGAGGCUGGAGGAACAGCCUCACACUUGCAGAGGUUAAUACACUCUACUGAUCCCUGAUGGGAGAAUCAUCACCUCUGCCAACAAAGAAGCCUGGUGGAUGUUUGUUUGCAGUCUGAUGAUGGGACAUCAUGCUCUGCAUCUUCAAAGUUUGUCUCUUGAUUAUUAUUCAUACACAGUAAUGUGAAGUAUGCUCAUAUCUAGUAUAACUGGACCAACCUGGUGCUCUUCAUUUAUGGAGGCUGUUGAGUCUGAAUGUUGGAUGUUGUGUAUCUCGUGUUCUCUGGGCUUUGUUGUCCUCAGUCUGUUUGCAGGAUCAGAAAACAAAACCAGGAGACCUGUAAAUGUUUCUU